AUGAGAUAGAUAUGUGGUCUAGUAUUUUUGAUAUAUGGACAAGAUGUUUUCCUAAUUCCGCAUGUUUUAAUCACGACUGUAGAAUAUGUGGCUUGCAUAAAGUACCUGUACCAAUGGUACAUGUAAACCAUAAAAUAUUAUGGGAAGGUGGAUAUAGUAAACUUCAAGAGUCGAUAUCUACGUUUGAUUCUAAGAUACGGUGUACAAAAUGCAAAUUAACUAUGAUUAAUCGGUCACUGUUAUUCAAUAGAUGUAUUUGCAUUGAACUAAAUGUUCAAAAAUUAAAAAGUGGGCCACUAACAUGCAAACUAAGAGAUAUGCCUGCAAUUAUUAAAUUAAAUAAUUUUAAUUAUCGGUUGCGAGGAAUAAUAGAAUGUGAGGCAGGUCAUUUUAAAUCAUAUUGUAGAAGAGGCCAGAAUUAUUGGAAUUUAUAUGAUGAUAAAGCAACGACAGUAAAAAAAAUUUUAUCUUCGAAAGACGUAAAACCUGAUGCCGUUAUUUUCACAAGAAUCCUGUAAAAAUUAUCUUUUUUCUGUUAUGAAAGUUUAUUUUUAUUUGAAUAAAAUUAGAAGAUUUCUGA